rnacentral:rRNA from 1 species
CCUACGGGGGGCAGCAGUGAGGAAUAUUGGUCAAUGGACGAGAGUCUGAACCAGCCAAGUAGCGUGAAGGAUGACUGCACUAUGGGUUGUAAACUUCUUUUAUAUGGGAAUAAAACGUUCCACGUGUGGGAUUUUGUAUGUACCAUAUGAAUAAGGAUCGGCUAACUCCGUGCCAGCAGCCGCGGUAAUACGGAGGAUCCGAGCGUUAUCCGGAUUUAUUGGGUUUAAAGGGAGCGUAGGUGGAUUGUUAAGUCAGUUGUGAAAGUUUGCGGCUCAACCGUAAAAUUGCAGUUGAAACUGGCAGUCUUGAGUACAGUAGAGGUGGGCGGAAUUCGUGGUGUAGCGGUGAAAUGCUUAGAUAUCACGAAGAACUCCGAUUGCGAAGGCAGUUCACUGGACUGCAACUGACACUGAGGCUCGAAAGUGUGGGUAUCAAACAGGAUUAGAUACCCUUGUAGUC